CAUAAAUCCUUUAUAGCUGUUUAAUGAUUUAAUACAUGACUAGGCUACAUUAGAAAAAUCUUUUUUUAUUCACUUUGCAAGAAGUUUUCUGUAUGUCACAUUUUCAUUUUGUACUAGUAAGUAGUUCUUACCAAAUUUAGUUCAAAGGGGAACUGUCUCUUAUCUGUAUUAUUAUUAUAUUUAACAAAUAUGCGUAUGUGAGGU